GAUGAAGAACGCAGCGAAAUGCGAUAAGUAAUGUGAAUUGCAGAAUUCAGUGAAUCAUCGAAUCUUUGAACGCACAUUGCGCCCGCCAGUAUUCUGGCGGGCAUGCCUGUUCGAGCGUCAUUUCAACCAUCAAGCCCCAGGCUUGUGUUGGGGACCUGCGGCUGCCGCAGGCCCUGAAAACCAGUGGCGGGCUCGCUGUCACACCGAGCGCAGUAAUACAUCUCGCUUUGGGCGUGCGGCGGGUUCUUGCCGUUAAACACCCCCUUUUUACCAAGGUUGACCUCGGAUCAGGUAGGAAUACCCGCUGAACUUAAGCAUAUCAAUAAGCGGAGGA
rnacentral:misc_RNA from 1 species